rnacentral:rRNA from 1 species
UUAACGCUGAGGUGUGAUGACGAGGCACUACGGUGCUGAAGUAACAAAUGCCCUGCUUCCAGGAAAAGCCUCUAAGCAUCAGGUAACACGAAAUCGUACCCCAAACCGACACAGGUGGUCAGGUAGAGAAUACCAAGGCGCUUGAGAGAACUCGGGUGAAGGAACUAGGCAAAAUGGUGCCGUAACUUCGGGAGAAGGCACGCUGAUAUGUAGGUGAAGUGGUUUACCCAUGGAGCUGAAAUCAGUCGAAGAUACCAGCUGGCUGCAACUGUUUAUUAAAAACACAGCACUGUGCAAACACGAAAGUGGACGUAUACGGUGUGACGCCUGCCCGGUGCCGGAAGGUUAAUUGAUGGGGUUAUCCGUAAGGAGAAGCUCUUGAUCGAAGCCCCGGUAAACGGCGGCCGUAACUAUAACGGUCCUAAGGUAGCGAAAUUCCUUGUCGGGUAAGUUCCGACCUGCACGAAUGGCGUAAUGAUGGCCAGGCUGUCUCCACCCGAGACUCAGUGAAAUUGAACUCGCUGUGAAGAUGCAGUGUACCCGCGGCAAGACGGAAAGACCCCGUGAACCUUUACUAUAGCUUGACACUGAACACUGGUCCUUGAUGUGUAGGAUAGGUGGGAGGCUUUGAAGUGUGGACGCCAGUCUGCAUGGAGCCAUCCUUGAAAUACCACCCUUUAAUGGCUGGUGUUCUAACGUAGACCCGUGAUCCGGGUUGCGGACAGUGUCUGGUGGGUAGUUUGACUGGGGCGGUCUCCUCCUAAAGAGUAACGGAGGAGCACGAAGGUUAGCUAAUCCUGGUCGGACAUCAGGAGGUUAGUGCAAAGGCAUAAGCUAGCUUGACUGCGAGAGUGACGGCUCGAGCAGGUGCGAAAGCAGGUCUUAGUGAUCCGGUGGUUCUGAAUGGAAGGGCCAUCGCUCAACGGAUAAAAGGUACUCCGGGGAUAACAGGCUGAUACCGCCCAAGAGUUCAUAUCGACGGCGGUGUUUGGCACCUCGAUGUCGGCUCAUCACAUCCUGGGGCUGAAGUAGGUCCCAAGGGUAUGGCUGUUCGCCAUUUAAAGUGGUACGCGAGCUGGGUUUAGAACGUCGUGAGACAGUUCGGUCCCUAUCUGCCGUGGGCGCUGGAGAAUUGAGGGGGGCUGCUCCUAGUACGAGAGGACCGGAGUGGACGCAUCACUGGUGUUCGGGUUGUCAUGCCAAUGGCAUUGCCCGGUAGCUAAAUGCGGAAGAGAUAAGUGCUGAAAGCAUCUAAGCACGAAACUUGCCCCGAGAUGAGUUCUCCCUGACUCCUUGAGAGUCCUGAAGGAACGUU